GAUAUCUCACAGGCCCGCCCCUUCUGUAGAACCAAUCGGAACUCGAGGCGCAGCGGCUGGGUAUUCCAGGAGAGCGCAUGCGCAGACGCAUGGCCACAGACUGCCGGAUGCCGAAGGACCUGUUCAAAGUAUUUUCUGUAACUCCAACUGUAACUUGGUUCUAGGAGGAGAGAAUCCAUGUUUGGUCAACAGAACUUUUCGCCGCCACUUAAGUUUACUGCUUCAAUAUCUUUUCCUUACUAAUUGAUUGUUAAUUAAGUAGUGUCCAAGUGAGUUAGCCUUUUUAGGGUUGAUUAAUUAAAAGAGCAGCAAGAAUGGCAUUUUAA
rnacentral:lncRNA from 1 species